GUCCAGACUCCUACGGGAGGCAGCAGUGGGGAAUCUUGCGCAAUGGGCGGAAGCCUGACGCAGCGACGCCGCGUGCGGGACGAAGGCCUUCGGGUCGUAAACCGCUUUCAGCAGGGACGAGGCCCUCACGGUGACGGUACCUGCAGAAGAAGCCCCGGCUAACUCCGUGCCAGCAGCCGCGGUAAUACGGAGGAUGCGAGCGUUAUCCGGAUUUAUUGGGUUUAAAGGGUGCGUAGGCGGACUGGAAAGUCAGCGGUAAAAUCGAGAGGCUCAACCUCUUUCCGCCGUUGAAACUGUCGGUCUUGAGUGGGCGAGAAGUAUGCGGAAUGCGUGGUGUAGCGGUGAAAUGCAUAGAUAUCACGCGGAACUCCGAUUGCGAAGGCAGCAUACCGGCGCCCGACUGACGCUGAGGCACGAAAGCGUGGGUAUCGAACAGGAUUAGAUACCCCCGUAG
rnacentral:rRNA from 1 species